ensembl:lncRNA
UUUUGAUUUUGUUUUCAUUCUUUUAAUAAAACUCUUCCUGUUCACACCCAAUUUCUCAUUCUUGUUCCCAUCCUGGAUUCCAGUGGCCCAGCAGAGGCUGGCAGAGCCCUUGAUAUUAUGGAAGGAAGAGGUAAAGACUUGACAACUUUCAGAAAUCAGUCCACCUGAAAAUGUCAGGCCACCAAAACUGCUCCUUGUCAGCUGCAUCAGGACCUAUGUUCAGCUUCACAACAGAGAAAAAGUGAAACAACAGCCCAGAAUGGAUAUCCAUGUUCAAUCCUGUAUAGGUGCAAUUCACUCGAGGUCUUGCUUCAAUCUGGUCAUCUCUGUUGCUGAGAGGAGGUUGUUAUUACCCCAUCUCAGGUGAUCCUCUGUGCUCACUGCUGAUGUUCACAGCCUGUGUGAUGAUGGAGAGGUAUUUACACUAUAUAAUCACCGGUGGCCAGCCUUGCAGAAAAGGGAAAAGGCAAGAAUUUCAUAGCUAAAAUUACUUUCUCUUUCCCUUUGAGAUGGAUCCCAUCAAAUCAAUGUUGUGAGAGGUAAAAGAGCGUGGGUGGCCUUUCAGUGUCACUGAGCAAAUUGUUGCUAUUCUUUGUUGCAAAAUGACAAUGCCAUUUCCAGAGCUCUCAGUCAAGGCAACAUCAUUCCCAGACAUUGAAUCCUAAUUGUUAGAUUCCUUUAUUUUAUUUUGAGCUAAGUUGGUGACAGUGAAUAGACAGGAAGCAAAAUAUGGUAAUUUCAUUAGUAAAAAAUGCACAUUAAAACUGUAACAUUUCCACAAGUGGGAAAAAAAAAUAUAUCAGGCACUUGUCAGACUACCAUGAUCUCAUGAUUUGGCUAUAGGGAAGGACCAUAUAGUUCAUCCUGCUCUCACUGAAUUAAAGCAAUGGGCCAGAGGCCUGGUGCUGAGCAUAGGACCCAGUUAUAAACACAGCCCCUGAG